GGUGGAGGUGGAGGUGGAGGUGGAGGU
rnacentral:piRNA from 1 species